rnacentral:rRNA from 1 species
GUCCACGCCCUAAACGAUGUCAACUGGUUGUUGGACGGCUUGCUGUUUAGUAACGAAGCUAACGCGUGAAGUUGACCGCCUGGGGAGUACGGCCGCAAGGUUGAAACUCAAAGGAAUUGACGGGGACCCCGCACAAGCGGUGGAUGAUGUGGUUUAAUUCGAUGCAACGCGAAAAACCUUACCUACCCUUGACAUGCCAGGAACUUGCCAGAGAUGGCUCGGUGCUCGAAAGAGAGCCUGGACACAGGUGCUGCAUGGCCGUCGU